AUACUUACCUGGCAGGGGAGAUACCAUGAUCACGAAGGUGGUUUUCCCAGGGCGAGGCUUAUCCAUUGCACUCCGGAUGUGCUGACCCCUGCGAUUUCUCCAAAUGUGGGAAACUCGACUGCAUAAUUUGUGGUAGUGGGGGACUGCAUUCACGCGCUCCCCUG
rnacentral:snRNA from 1 species